rnacentral:rRNA from 1 species
AGUGAACGCUGGCGGUAUGCCUAACACAUGCAAGUCGAACGGCAGCACAGUAAGAUCUUGCUCUUACGGGUGGCGAGUGGCGGACGGGUGAGGAAUACAUCGGAAUCUACUUUUUCGUGGGUGAUAACGUAGGGAAACUUACGCUAAUACCUCAUACGACCUACGGGUUAAAGCAGGGGAUCUUCGGACCUUUCGCGUUUGUAUGAGCCGAUGUCGGAUUAGCUAGUUGGCGGGGUAAAGGCCCACCAAGGCGACGAUCCGUAGCUGGUCUGAGAGGAUGAUCAGCCACACUGGAACUGAGACACGGUCCAGACUCCUACGGGAGGCAGCAGUGGGGAAUAUUGGACAAUGGGCGAAAGCCUGAUCCAGCAAUACCGCGUGGGUGAAGAAGGCCUUCGGGUUGUAAAGCCCUUUUGUUGGGAAAGAAAAGCAGCAGGUUAAAACCCCGAUGUUCUGACGGUACCCAAAGAAUAAGCACCGGCUAACUUCGUG